AUACUUACCUGGCAGGGGAGAUACCAUGAUCACGAAGGUGGUUUUCCCAGGGCGAGGCUUAUCCAUUGCACUCCGGAUGUGCUGACCCCUGCGA
ensembl:snRNA U1 U1 spliceosomal RNA